GUGGGGAAUUUUGGACAAUGGGCGAAAGCCUGAUCCAGCCAUGCCGCGUGUGUGAAGAAGGUCUUCGGAUUGUAAAGCACUUUAAGUUGGGAGGAAGGGCAGUAAGUUAAUACCUUGCUGUUUUGACGUUACCGACAGAAUAAGCACCGGCUAACUUUGUGCCAGCAGCCGCGGUAAUACGAAGGGUGCAAGCGUUAAUCGGAAUUACUGGGCGUAAAGCGCGCGUAGGUGGUUUUGUAAGUUGGAGGUGAAAUCCCCGGGCUCAACCUGGGAACUGCCUCCAAAACUGCAUGACUAGAGUACGGUAGAGGGUAGUGGAAUUUCCUGUGUAGCGGUGAAAUGCGUAGAUAUAGGAAGGAACACCAGUGGCGAAGGCGACUACCUGGACUGAUACUGACACUGAGGUGCGAAAGCGUGGGGAGCAAACAGGAUUAGAAACCCCAGUAGUCC
rnacentral:rRNA from 1 species